UUGCUUGUUUCGUAUACGUUUAUGCAUAAUUUGCAAUUAACAUUCUAUUCAAGCCCGCACCGACAUCGACAUCGGGCAAAUUGACUCCGUAAAGUGAUAUGAAACGAGCAUUAGUUUAUUACAGUGUAGUUUCCGCUUCUCGGACAUCUUCCUUUUAAUAUCGGUAAACAUAAAACGCUGAUUAUAGCUCGCUGUUUCUGAGAACGAAACCUCGAAAAUAAACUACGGUGAUUCAACGUUGUACACUAUGUGUGCGCGAAAUAUAAAUUACGAUCCAGCUUGGAUCCGAUGUUACGGUGUAAAUCUUGAUUCAAUAGACGCUACUGCGCGAUAACUGAAACGCGAGUCUCAUUAAAACCUCGUGCUGCUUAUCGUUACGCUAAUAACAAGUUGAGCUCGCGUAUCAACUUAAUUCAGCAGCAGCUAUUGUCUGCGUUGGAGUGUAAUAUAUGCUCUAAUUGUACUUUUAAAUGCGUAAAUGUUCGCUUGUUUGUUCGCUCCAAGAUUCGGUAUUGUUAUUCAACGCUGAAACUUGUUGGCUGCACGAAGUGACAGCUAACCACGUCACUUAUUCGCCGUUUCGGCUAGUUUGUUUAACAAGUUAAGCUCGCAGAAAUCGUCUCGAGGACGAGAAUAAUACUGCUUCGUUAAGAGCCUAGUUACAAAUCGGGCGAAUUUGGCGUCUAUCCAACGCAACCUAGAGAAAUAAUAGACCAUACUACGUUCGCGUAUACUGUUCGAUCGAUACAGUGACUCCGGAGAGCAUCAUCAUUCCAAUAGUAUCGUGCAUUCUCGGUUUCCCAUUAUUGGCAUUGAUGGUCAUCUGUUGCUUAAGAAGAAGAGCGAAGCUCGCAAGAGAACGAGCCAGAAGAAGAAAUUGUGAUUUGGAUCACGGUGCCCUCAGUCUCGUUCGUUUCAGCCCUGUUCAUCGUUUAGGUGAGUUUCAUCGAAAAAUUCGACCGUCCUCCGUACUCCUAUCCUUUAAAUCUACUUUCCACUUCCGUUCUUCAACGCGUCACGAAGGCACACUGAAACUUGGAUUUAACGAAAAAUGGAUGCACUUCUUCGGUACUCGUUGUCCACUGUAUUUAAUCCGCGUUAGAAAAAUGUUGAGAGGAGUUUCUCGGCAGAUUUGUUUCUAUUGCAUUCAGCAAAUAUUAAAAGGCUCGUUUCGUUCUUCCGUUGAAAAAGAUAGAGUUCAUCGCGGUGCAGUGCUAUUGUUAAAUUCGUAAUUAAAUCGUACGGAUCUUGAAGUGAAAUGUUUUCAUGUGCACACACAUCAUAUAACGAAAAUGGAACGAGGUCACGAAACAUUUGUAUUUUAGAACCGCCCUCCUCCAGCCAGCCUCUUUACAGCUAUAUCGUAGCUUCCGUGGUCGCUUUUCUACCUAGAAACAUCGAAUGCACGCGCACACCUAUACAGUCCUUGCACUGUAGCAAAUGAAACAUACAUUUACGCUUACGUUUUCAAACUCACUGAGAACAGACAUCGAUAUACAGAGUGUCACACAUUUAACUUUUAUUCAACGAAUAACUGUUAAUAAACAGUUGUUUCCCUUUUACUUGGUAUCUAAGUAAUUUCAUCUAGGUAAGAAUUUACCAAUUUCUGGCAUGAUGCACUGCUGGUUAAGGACGGUACUAUAUAGAGAAACUGUGUACACCGAGCCUAGAUUUACGGGCCACGAAACUUGACGAAUAGCGUCCCUUUGGUCGGUGGUAAAUUCUAGUAUCGAUGUGCAUUUGUACUCCGAAAAUUAAUCAAUUUCGCUGAAAAAGUGUACAAACUGAAAUAUACAAUAUAUCCAUUAUUUUAUCAUCCCGUCAAGCGCAGCGCCUAAAGAGGAUUUAGGUAAAACUUUUUAUCAGUUUGAUUAUUGCCUGAUUUCGUCUCUAGAGACGUUAGGAGUUUAUCGUAAUCGCUGCGGUUCUUUAAUGCGCAAUUACUCGCUGUUGCCGCUUAUGCCGUAUAGCUGAAAUACAAUUUUAUUCAAGUUUCGUCGAAAGCUGAUAAAGACGCGCCAUUUGAAUGCGUGAAAUGAAUUAACAAGGACGAGAAGAACUUGUCGCAGUACCGCAAAAUUUUGGGUAUUUGUAAGCUGUGCAGAAACGCAUUUAUGAGACAUUUCCUCGCUGGUAUAUAGCCUCGCCACAGAUAUUUAAGUAUUAUAAUUUUACGCCAAACGUAUCGUGAAACUUUGCUACAUCUUGAUAUGGCUCUCGAUGCGGAAGCAUGAAUACAUUAUUUAAUAAUUCGUAAUUCGCAUGUAACCGAUCUUCGAGCACUUGUUCUGUAAACGUAGCGUAGCGAUGCAUUGAAACGGAUCUUGCAUACAACAACUGUAUUUUAACGAUUAUCCGAUUGAAGGAUAAAGUUUGAAACGCGUAAUGGUAUCAUUAGAAUGCAUUUAGUCGAUCACACUAUUCUAUUGCACACUUUGAUUCGCAGACUUGCUAGUGGACAUUUAUCGAACGGAACGCUUAUUACUCGAUUUUCUUUGAAGUAAUUAGACGUUAGUUUCGUGGUGUAAUCAAAUUUUGUUUGUCUGCAACAGCUGGGAUCGAUCGUUCGACGAGAGCGGUAUCAUUCCGGAGCGAUCGAGGAUCUAGAGCCUUCUCAUCGCUGGAUCUAGACACCGUGGUUGAAGAGAGGUCGGAUCCUGAACAGAGCACCGCACUGGAACUCAGUAGUCCAGAU